GUGGCUGAAACAGAGCAGGAGAUUCAAAUCUAACUGGAACACUCAGGAGGAUAUUGGACAACACAUAAAGCUCGUUUUAUGUCAUACGAGAUGAAGCAGAAGCUCUUGUGCACUUUAUCACGGAGCACGUGCACCCUACUCUCUUCACUCCCAUACACAGUCACCAAAUCGCUCCAUAUUUGCAUAAACCUUUCUCAAGUGGACACGCCCACAUCUAGUCACGCCCACAACGGUCAUCAGCUCUCAGUGAAAUCGAAAGAUCUCUGGUUGCUGUAUGUGUGAACGCAGCAUUCAGCAUUAUGUCGAAUAAAUUGGAUUGGAUUCAAUGCACGAUCCCAGCAUUCUGGAUCAUAAGAUGCAGUGCUUUCGAAUCCGUCGUCAAAACCCUUGAAACACCUAAGUGUAAUCUGUCUUCCUGAGCCAUAGCGCAGCCCGUGUGGGAUUGGAUCGAUCUGGCAUGGAAGAGAAGCUCAAGGUCACACUGAUGUGCUGGCAGACGAGGCCACACCUCACCUGCAGAGCCGGUCUCAUCUCCUCCACUGUGAACAACGAGCCGUGAUCGUAUGAGACGCUCUGACCCUCCCCACCGACUCCAUCUGGAGAAAACCAAAAAAAGGGGUUCCUUAUCCAGGCGAGAUGUGUAUCUGAUUAAACCUCCUAAUCUCUGUUGUCACGCCUGAUAAAAUGGGUUUAUCCCAGAGGCGCUGGAGAAUCUGAUUAAGAGACGGCGGUACGAGGACACGGGCGGUGUCGAGACUUGACCUCGUGUCCCAAGAGCAUCAAAAAUCACCGAGAUUUGUCUGAGAAGCGGCUUGUGGACGAGGACGAGAGCAGUGAGUGGGCUGCUAGCUUAAUGUCGACGUACUGCAUGUGUCAGCUUACUAGAGUGAGUAUUCUAGACUCCUUCCCCUUCGGUAGCAGGGUCAGAGACAUGUCUGGUUAGGUGAUACGUCAGGAUUUUCAGUGGGGUUAUCAUGGAUACAUUAAAAUAUAAAUGUGGUCCUGUUCUUAGUUAGGUUGAUUCUGGAUGGAUGGAUGGAUGGAUAGAUAUAUAGACAGACAGACAGACAGACAGACACUUUAUUGAUCCGGAAGGAAAUUCCAGAUAUCCAGUAGCUAUAGAGACAGUAACAAAAAGACAGGUUGUAGAUAGAGAGAUGGAUGGAUGGAUGGGUAGGUAGGUAGAUCAGAAGACUGGUUUAAGCUCACAACUUAAAAUAAUCACUUAUACAACUGUGGUGAGCAGAAAAGCAUCAAACUCUGAGGCAGAAGAUCACACUAUCAGCCAUGAACAUGAACCUGAGAUUUCACCUGGCCUGCUGAAU